UUAAGCAAGAAGUUAUGCAAGCACAACUGGUAGAAGUCAUGGAAGAACAUAGGAAUUUGAGUGCUAGACAAGCUGAAAUGGCCAAGAAACAAGAAGAGCUUGCAAAGAAACAAGAUGAUUUGUUGAAGCAAUAGAAUGAAUCUGCAAUCCAGCAAACUAAUAUGGCAAGGACCCAAGCUGAUAUAGAAAACAAGCAAGAUGAGAUGAGUUGUGGCAUCAAGGCCCUGCUGGAAAUGAUGCAGCAGAAGCAGAACCCUUAGGAUCCCUUGCACAUUAUUUUUUUAC
rnacentral:lncRNA from 1 species